CAGUCGCCGCGGUAAUGCGGAGGGGGCUAGCGUUGUUCGGAAUUACUGGGCGUAAAGCGCACGUAGGCGGCUUGGUAAGUUAGAGGUGAAAGCCUGGAGCUCAACUCCAGAAUUGCCUUUAAGACUGCCGAGCUUGCAGGUGAGAGAGGUAAGUGGAAUUCCGAGUGUAGAGGUGAAAUUCGUAGAUAUUCGGAAGAACACCAGUGGCGAAGGCGGCUUACUGGCUCAUACUGGACGCUGAGGUGCGAAAGCGUGGGGAGCAAACAGGAUUAGAUACCCCUGUAGUCCCUGUCUCUUAUAC
rnacentral:rRNA from 1 species